CGUAGGUGGCGAGCGUUAUCCGGAUUUACUGGGCGUAAAGCGUGUGCAGGCGGGGGUACAAGUGGUGUAUGAAAUCGCUCGGCUAAACCGGGCGGGGUUAUGCCAGACUGUACUUCUGGAGUGCGAGAGAGGGGCAUGGAAUUCCGGGUGUAGUGGUGAAAUGCGUAGAGAUCCGGAGGAACCCCAGAGGCGAAGGCGGUGCCCUGGCUCGCAACUGACGCUCAGACACGACAGCAUGGGGAGCGAACGGGAUUAGAAACCCCGGUAGUCCAUGCCGUAAACGAUGCAAACUAGGCGCUGGCGGUCUCAACCCCGCCGGUGCCGCAGCUAACGCGAUAAGUUUGCCGCCUGGGGAGUACGGCCGCAAGGCUA
rnacentral:rRNA from 1 species